rnacentral:tRNA from 1 species
CGGGAAGUAGCUCAGCUUGGUAGAGCACUUGGUUUGGGACCAAGGGGACGCAGGUUCGAAUCCUGUCUUCCCGA